AUGGUGCACAUAACAACCAACUUGGGGGUGGUGAUGGCGGCCGCAGUGGUGGCGAUGCUGACGUCGCCGCUCCUUGCUGGAGCAGAAGUUUCUCCGGUGGAGGCGCAAGGGAUGCCCGACUGCGACAUCACCUGUGGCAACAUGAGCGUGCCGUACCCGUUCGGCAUGGGCCCAGCCCGGUGCUACUGGCCGGGGUUCAACCUCACCUGCGACCGCGCAAGCAACCCGCCGCGGUUGCUGCUCGGCGACGGCACCCUUCAAGUCCAAGAGUUGUCCCUCAUCCCGACAUUUGUGGCCGUCAUACGCAUCGGCGACAUAAAAGUCGACGACCUCGGUGACGGCACACUCGGUAGUGGUCUUACGACCGAUGGCCCCUAUGCAAUUUCAUCCAACCAGUUUAUCCUGGUGGGCUGCAACGUUCAUGCGACGCUCAAGAACGGCGACGUGACCAUGAGCAGUUGUUAUUCUCGCUGCAAAAAUGGUGAUGGACUCUCCCAGGCGCGGAACACACUCGAAGCAGGCAUGCAAUGCUCUGGCAAUGGCUGCUGCCAGUCGGACAUUAUCUUCAACCCUGCAGAGGUAGCAGAAAGGCUUGUCAACAGCACGUCCUACGACGUGCAUCUCAAAUGGUUCGGCUCGAACCGGAGCACGGAUCAGCAGUGGCCCGCACUUGUCUUCGUCGCAAGUAAAGGCUGGUUCAGCCAUACACCAGUCUUCCACGAGCUGUUACGAACAGACGGCCCUGCAUCAGUGGAUGGGAUGCAAGUUCCCUUUUUGCUGGACUGGGAGGUCGUUCGCCAUGGCGCAGAAUGCCCCAACGUCUGCAAGAGCAAGUACAGCGAGUGCACAAAGGGUAAGAGAGGCUACACAUGCUUCUGCAACGACGGCUACCAAGGGAAUCCCUACAUCACCGACGGAUGCAAAGAUAUCAACGAGUGCAGUGAUCUCGGAUGGUACGACAAAUGUUAUGGUGAUUGUAUCAAUUUGGAUGGAUCAUUUCAAUGCCGGUGUCCGCCAGGAACACAUGGCGAUGCUACCCUGCCCGGUGGCUGCCUCAUUCCCAUCUCACGUAACUGCAGCACGUUUUGCGGUGACGUAUACGUGCCGUACCCCUUCGGCAUUGGCGCCGCCCAUUGUUACUGGCCAGGGUUCAACCUUACCUGUAAUACAGGCCAACAACCAGCAAAGCUACUCCUCGUCCUCAGCGACCCCGACUUCGGCAUGGACAACAACUUCCAUGUAACGGAGAUCUCCCUCCGGACCAACACGGUGCGCAUACUCCGCACCAAUGCCAUCAUGCCUAUCCCCUCCGGCCAGUCAAGCACUGUGUCUUUCUUUGGCAACUACUCGGAGGCACCCUACUCGCUAUCGACUGGUAACGAGUUCAUCCUAUCGGGCUGCAACCUUUAUGUGAUGCUGAUCGGGAAUGACACCGAGGAUGUCAUCAGCGGUUGUGCCUCCUUCUGCCCCUCCAGCAUCAGUGAAACCUUCUUCGGGACGGUAUUGCAGCGAGCAAACAGAGGAAGAUACUGCAACGGCAUGGGCUGCUGCCAAGCGAAUAUCCCCAUGUCCUCCAACGGCUUGCCCACGUCGUUGAUGGUUGUCAAUAGGAACCGCGACCAGGAGUUGACGUCGCAGCCCGCGUACACACUAAUUGCAGAGGAGGGGUGGUUCGAUCAGCGACGGUUGUCCAAGGAAAUAGCAGGGCGGGAGAAAUACGAAAUAGCCAAGGUACAGGUUCCCCAAGUUCUGCAGUGGGAGGUUAUACAGGACUUACCGCGGCCUGAUGAUAUGACGGCACAUCCGGGCUGUCCAGUGGAGGUAGCCCGCAAGCUCUGCAAGAGCAAGAACAGCUACUGUAAACGAGGGAGCAGAGGCUAUUUAUGCCAGUUUAUGGAUGGCUACGACAAGCCGGGCAGCAACCCCUACCUUCCCGACGAAGAUGGACGCAUGCCCUUACCUAUAGGUUUAUACCUCUGCAUAGGAGUUGCUGUUGGGGCAGUCAUCAUACUAUUUGUUCUCGCUGGAUCCUUCACACAUAAGAAAUUCAAACAUCGAAGAGCGCAGAUGUUGAAACAGAAGUUCUUCGAAAAAAACCGUGGACAAUUGUUGCGACAAUUGGUAUCUCAAAGAGCGGAUAUUACAGAGAGAAUGAUUAUAACCUUAGACGAGCUUGAGAAGGCAACAAAUAAAUUUGAUAAAGCUCGUGAGCUUGGUGGUGGGGGGCAUGGUACGGUCUACAAAGGAAUUCUAUCAGAUCUCCAUGUUGUAGCCAUCAAGAAACCAAAGGCAGCGAUUCAAAAGGAGAUUGAUGAAUUCAUUAAUGAGGUUGCUAUCCUAUCACAGAUCAACCAUAGAAAUGUGGUAAAACUCUAUGGUUGUUGCCUUGAAACAGAGGUCCCCAUGUUGGUCUACGAGUUUAUAUCCAACGGCACUCUCUAUGAUCAUCUUCAUGUUGAUGGACCAAGAUCAUUGUCAUGGAAUGAUAGGCUACGGAUAGCAACUGAGACAGCCAGAUCUUUAGCCUAUCUUCACUCAACAGCUUCAGUACCGAUCAUCCAUAGAGAUAUCAAGUCUGUUAACAUACUUUUGGAUGAUACUCUAACAGCAAAGGUCGCAGACUUUGGAGCUUCAAGGUAUGUUCCGUUGGAUAGAUCAGGGAUCACAACAAGAGUGCAAGGUACAAGAGGAUAUCUGGACCCCGGGUAUUUCAAUACCGGGCGUCUCACGGAAAAAAGUGAUGUGUACAGCUUUGGUGUCUUGCUUCUGGAGUUGUUGACUAGAAAUAAACCAUUUUCAUACAUAUCUUCAGAAGAUGAAGGCCUUGUUACACAUUUUUCUGCCUUAUUCACACAAGGCAAAUUAUCAGAGAUACUAGAUCCGCAAGUUAUGGAAGAGGGAGGCAGUGACAUGGAAGAAGUCGCAGCGCUUGCAGCAAUGUGUAUUGCAUUAAGAGGAGAGGAUCGUCCGUCCAUGAAGCAAGUGGAGAUCAAACUCGAAGGCACUCAAGCAUCCAGGGGACAUGAGGGGGGUGGUGUAAGAAAUGGUCCAUGGACUGCAGAUGGAGGUAGGAGCCAGGUAUUGUCCAGGCAGUAUAGUAUGGAAGAGGAGUUCGCUUCAUCUGCAAGGUAUCCUCGGUAG
rnacentral:rRNA from 1 species